GAUGAAGAACGUAGUGAAAUGCGAUACGUAAUGUGAAUUCAGAAUUCAGUGAAUCAUCGAGUCUUUGAACGCACAUUGCGCCCCCUGGUAUUCCGGGGGGCAUGCCUGUCCGAGCGUCAUUGCUGCCCUCAAGCACGGCUUGUGUGUUGGGCCUCCGUCCUCCUCCCGGGGGACGGGCCCGAAAGGCAGCGACGGCACCGCGUCCGGUCCUCGAGCGUAUGGGGCUUCGUCACCCGCUCUUGUAGGCCCGGCCGGCGCUUGCCGACACAUCAAUCUUUUUUCCAGGUUGACCUCGGAUCAGGUAGGGAUACCCGCUGAACUUAAGCAUAUCAAUAAGCGGAGGA
rnacentral:misc_RNA from 1 species